UGAUUUCCAGCACUCGAUCAAUAUAAUAUUUCUGGCCGGUCCCUGUGAAUGUCACUUUGACUCUUUCUUUGUUAAUGUAACAAUCAGUAUGCACACAGUAUAACAAUAUACCAAAGUUUACGUCUCUAUGCGCUCUCUUGUUCGAUAAAGCAGCCGCCUUUAUUCAGGUGAUUGUUGGAAAUUGAUUUUCCUCAACGCGGGGUACUUGGGAACUUUGAACUGAUAAUCAAUUUCCUUUUUUGGUAAAUUGAACUUGGGCUACGUUCCUUUGAUUCAACCGAAGUUUCACUAUUGAACAUGUUUCAGUUACCUUUUGGCCUUUCAAGGAUGAAUCUUUUUGCGGUGCUGCUAUAAAAUGGCAUUAGUUUUGUUAAGUCUAGUAUUGGUGGUGCAAUCGCCAAUAAUAUCUGCUUCUGGGUCGUGGGAGCAUAGGAAGGCUUGUGUAACAUACCAUAUAAGCGCCUUGUACGAUUCGAGUCAGGAACUGUUUUACAUAGAUGGAACAUUGGUGGACAAAUACUUCUUCUGUAAUGCUAUCAGAAUAAAUCUUGCAAAUCAUUGCUUCAUUACGGGAAAUGUCAGAACUCGAUACUGUGGGUUGGGUUUCUCGUUAGAUGAGUGGCCUUUGGGGCCGGGAAGAAAAUUUUUAAGACCAGUGGUUAGAGAAGGAUCUACAGGACAUGAUUACAAUAAAAUAUUUCAGAAGACAAAGGAUAAACAUGCUAAGAACUCUCUAUUAACCCCCCAAAGGUUGGCCAUGGCGAUACCAGCUUUCUUUGUUUUAUGUUGCGCAUUAAUUUGCCCAUGCUUUCAAGCGAGGAAGAAAGGAAUUGGUCAUACUGUUCUCCCCAAGGAGCCAAAUUCAAUGGAUUCAGUUUCAUCUUUAGAAAUGAAUUCUGUGUCUGAAAAGAUUAUGGCUAGUCCACUAAGAAUGCCACCCAGUCCUUCAAGAUUUUCCAUGUCACCAAAACUUGAUAGGAUUGGAUCUGUUCAUCUUGAUAUGAGCCAAGUUGCCAGAGCGACACACAAUUUCUCGUCAUCACUACUAAUUGGUGAAGGAGGGUUUGGGACUGUCUACAGGGCUGAGUUACCAGAUGGCAAGGUAGUCGCCAUUAAACGAGCUAGGAAGGAAUAUUUUGAAGCCUUACAAACUGAAUUUAGAAGAGAAGUUGAACUUCUGUCAAAAAUUGAUCAUAGAAAUCUAGUCAAGCUGCUUGGCUAUGUUGAAAAAGGAAAUGAACGCCUGAUUAUUACUGAGUAUGUGCCAGGUGGUACACUUAGAGAACAUCUAGAUGGUCAGAAAGAAAAGAUAUUGGAUUUCAAUCAGCGACUUGAAAUCUCCAUUGAUGUUGCUCACGGCCUGACCUAUCUCCAUCUAUAUGCAGAGAAGCAAAUUAUCCAUAGAGAUGUGAAGUCAUCCAAUAUAUUAUUGACCGAGAGCAUGAGAGCCAAAGUUGCAGAUUUUGGAUUUGCGAGGCUAGGAGAUGACUCUGACAAAACACACAUUUCAACCAAAGUAAAGGGCACAGUUGGUUACCUUGAUCCCGAGUAUAUGAAGACAUACCAGCUCACACCCAAAAGCGAUGUUUUCUCAUUUGGGGUUUUGCUAUUAGAAAUUUUAACUGGUCGUAGACCUGUGGAAUUGAAGAGAUCACAUGAUGAGAGGGUGACAAUUAGAUGGGCUUUUAGAAAGUAUAAUGAAGGAAAAUAUAUGGAGAUGUUAGAUCCUUCGAUGAAUGAAAUGGUAGACGAGGAGAUACUGGAGAAAAUGUUUGGUUUGGCUAUCCAGUGUGCAGCGCCUACUCGAGCAGAUCGUCCAGACAUGAAAUCAGUGGGGGAGCAGUUGUGGGGAAUUAGAAUGGACUAUUUGAAAAGUGGAAGGAGAUAGUUAAAGGUGGUUUCGUGAUUUGGGAGUUAGGGCGCCUACUUGCAGCUGCAGGAACAGGUCCAUUAGUGGUGGUAGAGGCAAAGACCUGCCAGUCACAGAGCCUUCGGUUUCCAGGACCAUCUAGAAGCAAUGCCAAUGCGCUGCAAUUUUCCAGCCAGAGGGUUUUUACGAUGGACAGUGCAGGUGGUCUUAUAUUUCGAUCAUUGCCACUGCAUUAGACUGUUAACUAGCAUCUUGAGGGUUUUCAAAUCGUUGCUUAUGUCCAAGAUUUUUAUCAUACACUUCUUGAUUUGAAUUUUAUUUUAUGUUAUGUGCGCCAAUACCCAACUUUUGCUAUUCUUGGCUUGUUCAUAUAAAAUUUUCACUCCAAAAAAACUGAUGAUCAGAACUUUUUGUUUCAUCAGGUGAAUCCAUAAAACCAGUGAAUAAAGAUUGUUAUUUUAUCGAUC